AUCAAAGAAGCACCCAACUCUCACUGUCACUCUCUCCUGCUAACAGAAACAUCCUGCACCUAGCCCCUCCAUUCAAACCGCUGUUACCAAUUGCAAGAGGUCUCCUCUACUUCCUUACAUCAGGGGGUGAGGUGAGGUACAGCUCAUCGUACACAAAUUGGUGAGAUGUGAGCGUCAUUAAUGAAGUAGAGUAACCCUCAUCAGUUUGGCCUUCAGUGGUGUGUCAAGAAGGUAACCUGAAGAGCAAAGAAGAAACUAGCAGAAAAAGGGUGGGGAAAUGCUAGAUUAAACACAGAAGCGUGGAACCAUCAGAAUUUAAACAGCAGUAGCACUUCCUACUCUGCUAGGCCACAGUCUUCUGCUGACUUGUCUUCCCCAUAUUUUACAUUCAAAACUGAAGUUUUGUUUUUUUCUGGAAGCCGCCCGGGGCAGCAGUUAACAGGAUGCCCCAAUUAGCAAAAAAAAAAAAAACCAACAUAAAAGGCUGAAGAAGAACAGAGACUACUGAAAACAGAA